rnacentral:rRNA from 1 species
AGAGUUGAUCCUGGCUUAGGAUGAACGCUAGCUACAGGCUUAACACAUGCAAGUCGAGGGGUAGCAGGGUAGCAAUACCGCUGACGACCGGCGCACGGGUGAGUAACACGUAUCCAACCUUCCCAUAACUCAGGGAUAGCCUUUCGAAAGAAAGAUUAAUACCUGAUAGUACUUUUUCAAGGCAUCUUGAGAAAGUUAAAGAUUUAUUGGUUAUGGAUGGGGAUGCGUUCCAUUAGAUAGUUGGUGAGGUAACGGCUCACCAAGUCUUCGAUGGAUAGGGGUUCUGAGAGGAAGGUCCCCCACAUUGGUACUGAGACACGGACCAAACUCCUACGGGAGGCAGCAGUGAGGAAUAUUGGUCAAUGGGCGAGAGCCUGAACCAGCCAAGUAGCGUGAAGGAAUGAAGGUCCUAUGGAUUGUAAACUUCUUUUAUAGUAGAAUAAAGUGAUCCACGUGUGGAUUUUUGUAUGUAUACUAUGAAUAAGGAUCGGCUAACUCCGUGCCAGCCGCGGC